GACGAACGCUGGCGGCGUGCCUAACACAUGCAAGCCGAGCGAGUGAAUCUCAUUCGGGAGUGAAGCUAGCGGCGGACGGGUGAGUAACACGUGGGCAACCUGCACCCUAGAGGGGAAUAGCUUUCGGGAGGGAGGAUUAAUCCCGAUUAAGAUUGUAGCUUCGCCGGAAGUGGCAUUUAAGGGAGCAAUCCGCUAUGAGAUGGGCCCGGGGCGCAGUAGCUAGUUGGUGAGGUAACGGCUCACCAAGGCGACGAUGCGUAGCCGACCUGAGAGGGUGAUCGGCCACAUUGGGACUGAGACACGGCCCAGACUCCUACGGGAGGCAGCUGUGGGGAAUAUUGCACAAUGGGGGAAACCCUGAUGCAGCAACGCCGCGUGAGUGAUGACGGCCUUCGGGUUGUAAAGCUCUUUCUUCAGGGACGAUAAUGACGGUACCUGAGGAGGAAGCCACGGCUAACUACGUGCCAGCAGCCGCAGUAACAC
rnacentral:rRNA from 1 species